UACAGGCUCGCACCACCACCCCCAGCCAUUUUUUUUUUUUUUUUUUUUUUUUCUUAGCAUUUUUGAGAAAUAAGGAAAUGGCCAGUGUGGCUGAAGCUCUGAACGCAAAGGGGAGAGUGAUGUGGUGUGGGGCUGCAGAGGUGGCCAGGAGCCAAGGCUGGCCUAAUUUCCUCUCACUUUGUGUGUCUCCUCUUUAAUUCUUUUUUUU
rnacentral:lncRNA from 1 species